rnacentral:lncRNA from 1 species
GGUGUGAGUGUACACCCAUUAAGCGCCAUUUUAUAGGCCGCAACCUUAUACCCACCUUAUAGAUCGGCUUCGUGAAUGAGGCCUACUAACGGUAAGACUAGCAUUUAGUUAUACAUAUAUAUAUUAUUCUAGUAAUAUCAUAUUAGUAUAGGGUUGUAUUUUAAAACUUUUAAAAUCUAGGGUUUGAAAUUUAAGUUGUCUAAAUUAAAACUUUUAAUCACAAAAGUAAAUUUCAAAACAUGAGGGUAGGUUUUAAACAUUUAAAACAUGGAGGAUCAAAUAACAAAUAAUUCCAAUUAACAAUUAAUAUCCUAAUUAUCUAUAUUUGAUUUAUUCAAGAUUUCUUUUAAAGAUAAUUACCAAAAUAAUCAAAAUAAUUAAUUAAUUAUCAUAUAAGGAAAUUAAAUAUUUAAUUAGUUGAUAAUUACCUUUAACUAGAUCAAGAUAAUAGUUAUAUUUAUCAGAAAAACGAAUUAAUGUUGAUCUAAUUAGUUUAUGGUAAGUUAAGAUAAGAUAAACACAAAGAAAUCCCGAAUCUGGCCAUUCCUGACGCCUGGACUCGCCGAGUGCACAAAUGGACUCGCCGAGUCAGGCCUACUCGCCGAGUCCACUUUGAGACUCGCCGAGUCCAUGACUCAGAAACCAAAAAUUCGAAUUUUGCAGGUUUGUUUCAGUUAAUCAAGCAACAAUUUACAGAAAACCAAGCUAGGCUCUGAUACCACUGAUGGGUUUUAGCCAUAAGAACUUUCCUAUGUGCGCAUGCAAAACCCUAAUGCUUGGAUCUAGGCUUUCUAAUAAACAUGCUUUGAAUCCAAGACUUCUAAUUACUAAUUAGGUUAAACAAGAACAUUAAAACAGAUCUAGAAUCAUACCUUUGAGUUCCUUGUUGAUCUUGAGGUCUUGGAGCUUCUAGAGUCACAAAUGUCACUCCUCUAAUGGCUUACAAACACCAAAGCAAGGAGGAUGAUUUGGGAGAGAGGAGAGGGGAGGAAUUUCGACCAGAGGUUCCUUACUUUAGGUCAAGUGUCGAAUUCCAUCAGCCAUGGGGUCUAUUUAUACUUGUAGACUCCUUAAGGAUUACAGAUAAGUCCCUAUCAGAUAAUCUUCUCUUAAGGCUAUCCAAAUCCAUUCCUAGAUAACUCUAAUGGACGAUUUUAGCUAUCCUAAUCCUCUUAGAAUUCGUCCAUAGUAUAUCCAAAUGGAUUUACAGUUUAAAGCUUAACUAUCAAACAAUUGACAGUUUAUACCCCUUUAUUUAAUUAAUCUCUUUAAGUCACCAAAUUAAUUCUAAUUAAUUCUAUGACUUAUAUUAAUCAAAUAACAAAUAUAUUAUUCAUUAUAUUAUUCCCAUAAUAUAUUAAUAAUAUUUACUCUCUCUUAAUAAAUCAUCCUAUCAAGUUGCUAUGGUGAAGGCAACCCAAAAGGACCAUGCACAACCGGAUAUAGUUACAGCCUUAGACACUAUUCCAACAGUCUCCCACUUGGAUAAGUCUAGUAACUAUACAAGUACAAUUCGGUUUGCAAUCGUAGCUCUCAAAGACGCUGUCAACUCUGAUCUAAUCAAUCUUGUCCUUUAGAUAAGGGAACGUACAGUCCUCUGUUAGAUAUCAUGCUGACAAUCCUAUGGAAUGGUUAGUCAAGCAUUUAGGUUUCUCGAUCUCUGAUUUAUUUGACAUAGAACUUAAUCGAACACAUCAAUUCAGUUCUGACCGGGCCCGGCACAUAAGUCAAAUCAAAUCAUCGAGCGGCCGAGAUAUCGCUUUUACCUUCUUAGAUAAAAGUUACAGAUAAACUUCGACUUAUAUGCAUUUACUUAUUCAUUAACCAACUAUACACAACAAUACGUUUUAUAACACCAAGUUACUGAUGCGUUUUCGUAUUAUCAAUGUACAAUCAAUUAACAAAUAAUAAACCAUAUAUCUAGGUUUUAAGACUAUAUGAUAUUAUCGUCUUGCGAUCACCUUUUAUAUCGUAUUCCAUAAGGUGAUUCCAGCAAGCGCGGGUUUAUUCCAAUGCUCAAAACUAGUUCAUAAGCACUCAUGAACGUUGCAGCAAUCCUUUGCUAUGUCUAACACCAUUUAGACAUUCUACACACCAAUUCAUGACAAUCUUCUUUCAUAUCUACUCCCAACAUAUGAACGAUUGUGGACCAUUUGAAUAAUUCGAUUAUUCCUAAUAAACUCAAUUAUUCUGGAAGUCAAAACAUGCAAAGUGAAACAAUAGCUAAACAAUUAACAUAAGAUAGUAACAUUACUCAUAAAUAAAACUCCUUUAUUUAAUCAUCAAAUGUCAAUUACAUUUAUCUAUUACACGUUUCUAAUACUAUCUAAUCUAUGCUAAUAUCAUCCUUCAGCCCAAUACUCCUAGCAUGCUGCAAGUGCUUAACCCUACUCAGUCCCUUCGUAAGCGGAUCUGCUGGGUUAUCUUCUGAUGAUAUCCUCUUCACUACGAGUUGUCCUUCUUCUACACGAUGUCUAAUGAAGUGAUACUUUCUGUCGAUAUGUCUUGAUCUACCAUGAUCCCUCGGUUCCUUGGUUAAGGCAACCGCACCUUCGUUAUCACAGAAAAUCUCCAUUGGCUCCUUUAUGGCAGGUACGACUCCAAGAUCACCGAUGAAGUUCUUUAGCCAUAUUGCCUCCUUCGACGCUUCGCUCGCUGCAAUGUACUCUGAUUCGCACGUUGAAUCAGCUACGGUUUCCUGCUUGGAACUCUUCCAUGUCACUGCUCCUCCAUUUAGGGUAAAGACCCAGCCCGACUGCGAACGGUAGUUGUCCCUGUCGGUCUGAAAACUGGCGUCACUAUACCCUCGCACCUUCAAGUCAUCACUCCCUCCGAGGACUAAGAACCAUUCCUUCGUCCUCCGAAGGUACUUAAGGAUAUUCUUCACCGCAAUCCAAUGUGCUUUGCCAGGAUUCCCUUGAUAUCUGCUAACCAUGCUCAAAGCGAAGGCUACAUCAGGGCGAGUACAAGUCAUAGCGUACAUGAUUGAGCCAACUGCGGAAGCGUAUGGUACUCGGCUCAUUUCUGCUAUCUCAGCUUCGGUACUCGGACUUUGAGUCUUACUCAAUUUGGCAUUACUUUGUAUCGGUAGUUCUCCCUUCUUUGAGUUUUCCAUACUAAAACGUUUUAGUACCUUCUCUAAGUAAGUAUUCUGACUAAGUCCAAUUAGUCUCUUACUUCUUUCUCUUACUAUCCUUAUUCCCAAAAUGUAAGAAGCCUCUCCGAGGUCCUUCAUAGCGAAGCACUUCCCGAGCCAGGACUUAACCUCCUGCAGAGUCGGGAUGUCGUUUCCUAUGAGUAAUAUGUCAUCGACAUAUAGAACGAGGAAGCUUACUAUACUCCCACUGGCUUUGACAUAUACACAAGAUUCGUCUUCGCUUCGUACAAAUCCAAACUCUUUGACUUUCUCAUCGAAGCAAAGAUUCCAUCUGCGAGACGCUUGCUUAAGUCCAUAAAUGGACUUCUCAAGCUUACACACUCUAUUCGGAUGCUUCGGAUCCACAAACCCCUCUGGCUGAGCCAUGUAAACAUCCUCAGCCAACUUUCCGUUAAGGAAAGCGGUCUUGACAUCCAUUUGCCAAAUCUCAUAAUCAUGAAAUGCGGCAAUUGCUAGCAUCACUCUAAUAGAUUUAAUCUUCGCAACUGGUGAGAAGGUCUCAUCAUAGUCAACUCCGGGAGUUUGAGUAAAGCCCUUCGCAACCAAUCGCGCUUUAUAUGUGUGUACGUUUCCAUCCACGUCGGUCUUCUUCUUGAAGAUCCAUUUGCACCCAACGGUCUUACGUCCGGGCACAUAAUCAACCAAAUUCCAAACUUGGUUAUCAUACAUGGAUUGGAUCUCGCUAUCCAUUGCCUCUUUCCAUUUUGCAGACUCCGGGCCUGCCAUGGCUUCCUUAUAGCUAUUAGGUUCAUCAAGAUUUAUUAGUGUACCAUCACUAAUAUACGUGUCCCCUUCGGUAGUAAUAUGAAAACCAUAAAACUGGGGUUGAACUCUAACUCUAUCGGAACGUCUAAGAGGUAAGGAUUCGUCAAUCGGUUCAACCGGAGUUUCCUCCUCGGGUUGAGUGCCAGCGGUAGAGGUUCCUUCAUCUAUCGACUCUUGAAUCUCUUCAAGCUCGAUUUGCCUCCCACUGUCUCCUUGGCUUAUGAGUUCUCGCUCUCGGAAAACUCCUCUCCUCGCAACGAAGACAACAUUGUCCUUCGGUCUAUAGAAGAGAUAUCCAAAGGAUGUCUGCGGGUAGCCGAUGAAAAUACAUCGCUCACUUCGAGGUUCAAGCUUGUCGUGAGUAUCUCGUCUUACGAAAGCCUCGCAACCCCAAACCUUGAUAUGUGCCAACGAGGGAGCUUUCCCUGUCCACAUCUCGUGAGGUGUUUUGGCAACCUUCUUAGUAGGGACUCGGUUAAGGAUAUGGGCGGCAGUCUCUAAGGCAUACCCCCAAAAAGAGAUAGGUAGUGAAGCACGACUCAUCAUAGAGCGAACCAUAUCCAAUAAGGUUCGAUUACGCCUUUCUGCCACACCAUUCAACUGCGGUGUCCUAGGAGGCGUCAAUUGCGAAACUAUUCCACACUCCUUGAGAUAAUCGUGGAAUUCAAGACUUAGGUACUCUCCUCCUCGAUCGGAUCGAAGCAUCUUGAUUUUCCUGCCCAAUUGAUUCUCCACUUCAUUCUUGAACUCUUUGAACUUUUCAAAGGUGUCUGACUUUUGCUUGAUUAAGUAGAUAUACCCAUAUCUACUAUAGUCAUCGGUAAAAGUCACAUAGAAGCGGUUCCCAUCCUUCGUGGUUGAUCUAAACGGUCCACAUACAUCGGUAUGUAUUAGGUCCAAUAGACCCUCGCCCCUUUCACAUGUACUCGUGAAGGGUGACUUAGUCAUCUUUCCAAGCAAACAAGACUCGCAUGUGUCAUCUUCCCUAAGGUCGAAUGACUCCAACACUCCAUCCUUUUGGAGUUGGGCUAUGCGUUUCUUGUUGACAUGUCCAAGACGACAAUGCCACAAGGAUGCUUUAUCCAUACUAGUGGAAGAAUCAAUAUUCAAAACAUCAUUUCCUAAGUUAUCAACAAUCAUAACGGUUUCAUAUAUUCCAUUACAUGGUAUAGCUUCAAAGUAAAAGACACCAUUUAGAUAAGCCAAAAUAGAACCAUUCUCAUUAUUAAAAGAAAAUCUAAAUCCUUGUCUAUAUAAACCAUGAAAUGAAAUGAUGUUUCUUGCCAUUUCUGGCGAAUAGCAACAAUUGUUCAAAUCUAAAACUAAACUAUUCCUAAGCACUAAGGAAUACACUCCAAUCUUGGUCACAGGCGACGAUCUUCUGUUCCCCAUGAUUAGAUUGAUCCUUCCUUGCUCCACAUCCCUACUUCUUCUUAGUCCCUGCACAUUAGAACAAAUGUGAUAACCACAACCGGUAUCAAGAACCCAAGAAAUAGCAUGAUUAGAAUCGUUAGAUUUGAUUGUAUAUAUACCUGCGAAAGAUGGCUUGAUCUUUCCUUCUUUGAUUGCUUGCAGGUAAUCCGGGCAGCUUCUCUUCCAAUGUCCUAUCUUGUGGCAGUGGUGGCACUCUGCCUCCUUCGGGUUAGAGCAGGGCUUGGCGGGAUCAACUUUGGUCCCACUAGAAGAGGCACCAUCUCGGGCUUUAACCUUGCGAUAGUUCUUAGACGAAGCCUUCCUCUUCUUUCCCUUUCCUUGACCAAUAGCCAAGACAGGAGCAGCGGGUGGAUUGGGAGUUGGUGCAACAGACUUGUCUUUGAAGUUGCUCUCAGCGACCCUCAAGAGACCUUGGAGUUUGCUUAGGGUGACCUCCUCUUUGUUCAUGUGGUAGGUCAUCCUAAAUUGAUUGUACAUCGGAGGCAAAGAGUGAAGCACCAUGUCGAUCACCAAGUCUUCCCCAAAGUCAACAUUUAACUUGCGAAGGCGGUCGACAUACCUUUGCAAUAAGUCUUGAUGCAUCUCGUACGGGUACAUGUCUUGAUGCAUCUCGCGUUCUGGUGGUAUCUCUCCAAUAAGUCUGGAUGCAUCUCGUACUGGUACAUGUCCUCGUAGGACUUUUGGAAUUCGGAGUUCAUGGUGGCUAUCAUGAUGCAAUGUACCUUCGUUGCAUCGCGCUCAUGAGUUUCAAAAGCGGUCAUUUCAGCCGGAGUAGCGAUUUCAGGGUUGAUUUUCUCGAGCUUCUCAUCGAGGACAUACUCCUUAUCCUCAUAGCGAGCAAUGGUGCGAAUGUAUCUUAUCCAUUCGCUAAAGUUCGUCCCAUCGAAAGUGACCUUUUGACAAAGGCUCAUCAAUGUGAAAGAACUAGCAGCAGCGUUGUUUGCGUUCGACAUCUACAAAUAGAAAGGACAAAGAUAGAUUAGAAUAUGAAUCCCUAAUUAUCACCCAAUAAGAAAAAUUAGGGCUAGGAUCCAACAACAAUAUUUACAUAUUAGAAAAGGGAUGCCGUAAUCUAACAUGCAAAUAAUAUGAAGGUAAGUGAAUGACGAUUCACUAAUUCUCCACCAUAAAAAACUAACUAUAAGUCCUAAAUUUUUUGAGAAUUCCUAGGUUCGGAUGAGAUUCAUUGAAACUAUUCAAUGGCAUGUUUAAAUCUCGAUAUGCCCCUCUUGUUUGUGACUGGGAUACCGAGGAUCACAAAGCGGGUGUGAAUUACCAUGCAAAUUCACAUGGUGCCUUCAUUGUAACAAUCACCUAUUCGACAUGUCGGUAAACCACACACGCUCCAUCGAACUAUGAUAAACAAUGAAUCACCCUUUGCCACCUUUGCUUAGAACCAAUUAGUGUGCCGGUAAACCACACACGCUCCACUAACUUCUUAGCAAGGGUGCAAAGUGUAAUUUCAUGGGAUUGCAUCAAUUCACUUUUCCUAAAGUAACUAAGAUUGGGAAAUUUUAAAAUAUGUGUAGUUACUUUGUAUUACUUAUUAUACUUUUAAUGAGAGGAUGAGGUUGCCCUAUCCUACCCGUUCGGCUAACGACCCUCCACCGAUCAAGCAAGCGGUGGGUGUGAGUGUACACCCAUUAAGCGCCAUUUUAUAGGCCGCAACCUUAUACCCACCUUAUAGAUCGGCUUCGUGAAUGAGGCCUACUAACGGUAAGACUAGCAUUUUAGUUAUACAUAUAUAUACAUAUUAUUCUUGUAAUAUUAUAUUAGUAUAGGGUUGUAUUUUAAACUUUUUAAAAUCUAGGGUUUGAAAUUUAAAUUGUCUAAAUUAAAACUUUUAAUCACAAAAUAUAAAUUUCAAAACUUGAGGACAAGUUUUAAACAUUUAAAACAUGGAGGAUCAAAUAACAAAUAAUUUUAAUUAACAAUUAAUUUCCUAAUUAUCUAUAUUUGAUUUAUUCAAGAUUUCUUUCAAGAUAA